CAUCAUUAAGGAUUACGUUACACAGAUAUGAAGGCGGGCUGGAACCUCUCGGGGUUACAGCCUUGCUGAAUUAUUCACCCUUGUCUUUUGCGUACUUCUUGUUUCCUUGGUGGGUUCGCCCACCACUAGGACAAACAUAAACCUUUUGUAAUUGCAAUCAGCGUCAGUAACAAAUUAAUAAUUACAACUUUCAACAACGGAUCUCUUGGUUCUGGCAUCGAUGAAGAACGCAGCGAAAUGCGAUAAGUAGUGUGAAUUGCAGAAUUCAGUGAAUCAUCGAAUCUUUGAACGCACAUUGCGCCCUUUGGUAUUCCAAAGGGCAUGCCUGUUCGAGCGUCAUUUGUACCCUCAAGCUUUGCUUGGUGUUGGGCGUCUUGUCUCUAGCUUUGCUGGAGACUCGCCUUAAAGUAAUUGGCAGCCGGCCUACUGGUUUCGGAGCGCAGCACAAGUCGCACUCUCUAUCAGCAAAGGUCUAGCAUCCACUAAGCCUUUUUUUCAACUUUUGACCUCGGAUCAGGUAGGGAUACCCGCUGAACUUAAGCAUAUCAAUAAGGCGGAGGAACCCUACGGAAACCUUGUUUACGACACCUACGGAAACC
rnacentral:rRNA from 1 species